rnacentral:rRNA from 1 species
UACGGGGGGGGGCAAGCGUUGUUCGGAAUUACUGGGCGUAAAGGGCUCGUAGGCGGCCAACUAAGUCGAACGUGAAAUCCCUGGGCUCAACCCAGGAACUGCGUCUGAUACUGGACGGCUUGAGUAUGGGAGAGGGAUGUAGAAUUCCAGGUGUAGCGGUGAAAUGCGUAGAUAUCUGGAGGAAUACCGGUGGCGAAGGCGGCAUCCUGGACCAUUACUGACGCUGAGGCGCGAAAGCUAGGGGAGCAAACGGG